rnacentral:sRNA from 1 species
AAUCAGCACAGGACGAGUACAACCGUGGGAGUCACAUCUGGAGAAGGCUCUAAUUCCUCUGAGCAUGAAUCAGACCUGCCGCCCAUGCCUGGGGAGGCAGUAGAAUAUCACAGUAUUCAAUUAAUACGGGAUGAAUUUUUAAUGAACGUGCAGAAAUUUGCAAGUAAUAUUCAAAGAACCAUGCAGCAACUUGAAGGUGAGAUCAAGUUAGAAAUGCCAACCAUCAGUGUGGAGGGAGAGGUGUCCGACCUGGCAGCUGACCCGGAAACCGUUGACAUCUUGGAGCAGUGUGUGAUAAACUGGCUGAAUCAGAUAUCCACAGCGGUUGAGGCCCAACUGAAGAAGACACCUCAGGGUAAAGGCCCUCUGGCUGAAAUUGAAUUCUGGAGGGAAAGAAAUGCAACCUUAAGUGCGCUGCAUGAACAAACAAAGCUUCCAAUAGUCAGAAAAGUCUUGGAUGUGAUCAAGGAAUCCAACUCCAUGCUUGUGGCUAAUCUGCAGCCAGUGUUCACCGAGUUAUUCAAGUUCCACACGGAGGCCUCAGACAAUGUGCGCUUUCUCUCCACCGUGGAGCGUUAUUUCAAGAACAUAACGCACGGGUCUGGCUUCCACGUGGUCCUAGACACCAUCCCCGCCAUGAUGAGUGCCCUGCGGAUGGUGUGGAUCAUCUCCCGACACUACAACAAAGACGAGAGGAUGAUUCCGCUCAUGGAGCGCAUCGCCUGGGAAAUCGCUGAGAGAGUCUGCCGAGUGGUCAACCUGCGGACUUUGUUCAAAGAAAAUCGAGCGAGUGCCCAAAGCAAAACCUUGGAAGCCAGGAACACCCUCAGGCUGUGGAAAAAGGCCUAUUUUGACACCCGGGCCAAGAUAGAGGCUUCGGGGAGGGAAGCUCGGUGGGAGUUUGACCGGAAGCGGCUGUUCGAGAGGACGGAUUACAUGGCCACCAUCUGCCAGGACCUCUCCGACGUUCUGCAGGUUUUGGAGGAAUUUUAUAACAUAUUUGGUCCAGAACUAAAGGCAGUGACGGGGGACCCCAAGCGCAUUGAUGAUGUCCUAUGCAGAGUGGACGGCCUAGUCACCCCCAUGGAAAACCUGACCUUUGACCCCUUCAGCAUCAAGUCCUCCCAGUUCUGGAAAUAUGUGAUGGAUGAAUUCAAGAUUGAAGUUCUGAUUGACAUCAUUAAUAAAAUCUUUGUCCAGAACCUUGAAAAUCCACCACUGUAUAAGAAUCACCCUCCAGUAGCAGGUGCAAUAUACUGGGAACGAUCUCUGUUCUUUCGGAUUAAGCACACCAUCCUCCGAUUUCAAGAGGUACAAGAGAUACUGGACAGUGAUCGAGGACAGGAGGUCAAACAAAAAUAUUUGGAAGUGGGUAGGACAAUGAAGGAGUAUGAAGACAGAAAGUAUGAGCAGUGGAUGGAGGUGACGGAGCAGGUGCUGCCAGCUCUCAUGAAGAAGAGCCUUUUGACCAAGUCUUCCAUCGCCACAGAGGAGCCUUCGACUUUAGAAAGGGGAGCUGUUUUUGCAAUCAACUUUUCACCGGCUCUCAGAGAGAUUAUUAAUGAAACAAAGUACUUAGAGCAGCUGGGGUUCACUGUCCCUGAAUUAGCAAGAAAUGUUGCUCUCCAGGAAGACAAAUUCCUUAGGUACACAGAUGGGAUACAGCGCAUGUUGGAUCAUUAUCACAUGCUCAUGGGAACGUUAAACGAUGCGGAGUCUGUGCUUCUCAACGAUCAUUCCCAGGAACUGCUCCGAGUGUUUAGGUCGGGAUAUAAGAGGUUGAACUGGAACUCACUAGGUAUUGGUGACUAUAUAACUGGUUGCAAACAGGCCAUUGGGAAAUUUGAGUCUCUCGUCCACCAGAUUCAUAAGAAUGCAGAUGACAUUUCUUCCAGGCUGACAUUAAUAGAGGCCAUAAAUCUCUUUAAAUAUCCAGCUGCUAAAAGUGAGGAAGAACUCCCAGGCGUGAAGGAAUUUUUUGAACACAUUGAGCGAGAAAGGGCCAGCGACGUGGACCACAUGGUCAGGUGGUAUCUUGCCAUUGGACCGCUGCUGACCAAAGUUGAGGGCCUGGUCGUCCACACCAACACAGGCAAGGCCCCCAAGCUGGCCUCCUACUACAAACACUGGGAAAAGAAGAUUUAUGAGGUCCUGACAAAGCUCAUCCUGAAGAACUUGCAGUCUUUUAAUUCUUUGAUCCUUGGAAAUGUCCCUCUGUUCCACACUGAAACCAUUCUGACGGCACCUGAGAUCAUCCUUCAUCCCAACACAAAUGAGAUCGACAAGAUGUGCUUCCAUUGUGUCCGGAAUUGCGUGGAGAUCACCAAGCAUUUUGUUCGUUGGAUGAAUGGCAGCUGCAUAGAAUGCCCCCCUCAGAAGGGGGAGGAAGAAGAAGUUGUUAUAAUAAACUUUUACAAUGAUAUCUCUCUGAACCCUCAGAUAAUUGAACAAGCUGUUAUGAUCCCCCAAAAUGUCCACAGGAUUCUGAUCAAUCUUAUGAAGUAUCUACAAAAAUGGAAGCGGUAUCGACCUCUCUGGAAAUUGGACAAAGCUAUUGUGAUGGAGAAAUUUGCUGCCAAGAAACCUCCUUGUGUAGCAUAUGAUGAAAAGUUGCAGUUCUAUUCCAAGAUAGCCUAUGAGGUUAUGCGCCACCCUCUAAUUAAGGAUGAGCAUUGCAUCAGACUUCAGCUCGGGCAUCUGGCAAACACAGUGCAGGAAAAUGCCAAGUCCUGGGUGAUUUCGCUUGGAAAACUUCUCAAUGAGUCAGCAAAAGAGGAGCUCUAUAAUCUCCAUGAAGAGAUGGAGGUACUCAAUCGCUGUGUGUAAUUGAAACUACUUUUUGUGUAAGUUGGGUCUUCAUUUGCGCCAUUACUGUUUUUUCUGUGUUUGCUUAGUGUUCUUUGUACUUUCUGUUAUAGCACCUGGCCAAAAACCUUAGGAAGAUCCCCAAUACCCUUGAAGAUCUCAAGUUUGUCCUUGCAACAAUUGCAGAAAUUAGAAGUAAAUCUCUAGUCAUGGAACUCAGAUAUAGGGACGUCCAGGAGCGAUACCGUACCAUGGCAAUGUAUAACCUCUUUGUAAGUCAACUUGUAUUUUCUUAUGCAUUUAACAAUUGGAUUGACCACUAACGACCCUUUUCAGAAAUGCUUCUCAAGUAUACUGCCAUUGAUUUGUUUUCAAAUAAGUGACUUUAAGUAAUACGUUGUAAAUGUAAAGCAAUGCCACUGUUAUUUAGAAUAAUGAAAAUAUAGAGUAUUUUUCAAUCUGUAUGGCUCAAAUGGAUUGAUCUGUAACUAUACCAUUUCCAUUCUCCCUUUUCUUUUCUUCUUUUUUUUUGUGUUAAUUUCCUUUAAUAGAUAAAGAACUCUGGCAAAAAUGAUAAGAAGAGAGUGAAAGAUUUAAGAUGAUAAAAGAAACUGGUAG